rnacentral:rRNA from 1 species
UACGAAAGGUGCAAGCGUUACUCGGAAUCACUGGGCGUAAAGCGCGCGUAGGCGGUCUCGUAUGUCGAUUGUGAAAGCCCUGGGCUCAACCUAGGAACAGCAGUCGAAACUGCGAGACUUGAAUGUUGGAGAGGGUGGGGGAAUACCUAGUGGAGAAGUGAAAUUCGUAGAGAUUAGGUGGAACACCAGAGGCGAAAGGCGCCUGCCUGGCCAAACCAUUGACGCUGAGGCGCGAAAGCGUGGGGAGCAAACAGGAUUGAGAAACCCUUGG